rnacentral:rRNA from 1 species
AUUGAACGCUAGCGGCAGGCCUAACCCAUGCAAGUCGCACGAGUGGCGGACGGGUGAGUAAUGUCUGGGAAACUGCCUGAUGGAGGGGGAUAACUACUGAAAACGGUAGCUAAUACCGCAUACCCUCAGAUGUGCCCCGAUGGGAUUAGCUUGUUGGUGGGGUAACGGCUCACCAAGGCGACGAUCCCUAGCUGGUCUGAGAGGAUGACCGGCCACACUGGAACUGAGACACGGUCCAGACUCCGACGGGAGGGAGCAGGGGGGAAUAUUGCACAAUGGGCGCAAGCCUGAUGCAGCCAUGCCGCGUGUAUGAAGAAGGCCGUCGGGUUGUAAAGUACUGUCAGCGGGGAGGCGUUACCCGCAGAAGAAGCACCGGCUAACUCCGUGCCAGCAGCCGCGUUAAUUC